ensembl:lncRNA
GUAGAGGAAGGACAUCAGUAAUAGAUGGUUGAGGGUAGAGGAAGGACAUCAGUAAUAGAUGGUUGAGGGUAGAGGAAGGACACCAGUAAUUGAUGGUUGAGGGUAGAGGAAGGACAUAAGUAAUAGAUGGUUGAGGGUAGAGGAAGGACAUCAGUAAUAGAUGGUUGAGGGUAGAGGAAGGACAUCAGUAAUAGAUGGGAGAGGUUGAGGGUAGAGGAAGGACAUCAGUAAUAGAUGGUUGAGGGUAGAGGAAGGACAUCAGUAAUAGAUGGUUGAGGGUAGAGGAAGGACAUCAGUAAUAUAUGGGAGGGGUUGAGGGUAGAGGAAGGACAUCAGUAACAGAUAGGAGAGGUUGAGGGUAGAGGAAGGACAUCAGUAAUAGAUGGGAGAGGGUAGAGGAAGGACAUCCAUAAUAGAUGAGAGAGGUUGAGGGUAGAGGAAGAACAUCAGUAAUAGAUGAGAGAG